UUAAGCGACUAAGCGUACACGGUGGAUGCCCUGGCAGUCAGAGGCGAUGAAGGACGUGCUAAUCUGCGAUAAGCGUCGGUAAGGUGAUAUGAACCGUUAUAACCGGCGAUUUCCGAAUGGGGAAACCCAGUGUGUUUCGACACACUAUCAUUAACUGAAUCCAUAGGUUAAUGAGGCGAACCGGGGGAACUGAAACAUCUAAGUACCCCGAGGAAAAGAAAUCAACCGAGAUUCCCCCAGUAGCGGCGAGCGAACGGGGAGCAGCCCAGAGCCUGAAUCAGUGUGUGUGUUAGUGGAAGCGUCUGGAAAGGCGCGCGAUACAGGGUGACAGCCCCGUACACAAAAAUGCACAUGCUGUGAGCUCGAUGAGUAGGGCGGGACACGUGGUAUCCUGUCUGAAUAUGGGGGGACCAUCCUCCAAGGCUAAAUACUCCUGACUGACCGAUAGUGAACCAGUACCGUGAGGGAAAGGCGAAAAGAACCCCGGCGAGGGGAGUGAAAAAGAACCUGAAACCGUGUACGUACAAGCAGUGGGAGCACGCUUCGGCGUGUGACUGCGUACCUUUUGUAUAAUGGGUCAGCGACUUAUAUUCUGUAGCAAGGUUAACCGAAUAGGGGAGCCGAAGGGAAACCGAGUCUUAACUGGGCGUUAAGUUGCAGGGUAUAGACCCGAAACCCGGUGAUCUAGCCAUGGGCAGGUUGAAGGUUGGGUAACACUAACUGGAGGACCGAACCGACUAAUGUUGAAAAAUUAGCGGAUGACUUGUGGCUGGGGGUGAAAGGCCAAUCAAACCGGGAGAUAGCUGGUUCUCCCCGAAAGCUAUUUAGGUAGCGCCUCGUGAAUUCAUCUCCGGGGGUAGAGCACUGUUUCGGCAAGGGGGUCAUCCCGACUUACCAACCCGAUGCAAACUGCGAAUACCGGAGAAUGUUAUCACGGGAGACACACGGCGGGUGCUAACGUCCGUCGUGAAGAGGGAAACAACCCAGACCGCCAGCUAAGGUCCCAAAGUCAUGGUUAAGUGGGAAACGAUGUGGGAAGGCCCAGACAGCCAGGAUGUUGGCUUAGAAGCAGCCAUCAUUUAAAGAAAGCGUAAUAGCUCACUGGUCGAGUCGGCCUGCGCGGAAGAUGUAACGGGGCUAAACCAUGCACCGAAGCUGCGGCAGCGACGCUUAUGCGUUGUUGGGUAGGGGAGCGUUCUGUAAGCCUGUGAAGGUGUGCUGUGAGGCAUGCUGGAGGUAUCAGAAGUGCGAAUGCUGACAUAAGUAACGAUAAAGCGGGUGAAAAGCCCGCUCGCCGGAAGACCAAGGGUUCCUGUCCAACGUUAAUCGGGGCAGGGUGAGUCGACCCCUAAGGCGAGGCCGAAAGGCGUAGUCGAUGGGAAACAGGUUAAUAUUCCUGUACUUGGUGUUACUGCGAAGGGGGGACGGAGAAGGCUAUGUUGGCCGGGCGACGGUUGUCCCGGUUUAAGCGUGUAGGCUGGUUUUCCAGGCAAAUCCGGAAAAUCAAGGCUGAGGCGUGAUGACGAGGCACUACGGUGCUGAAGCAACAAAUGCCCUGCUUCCAGGAAAAGCCUCUAAGCAUCAGGUAACAUCAAAUCGUACCCCAAACCGACACAGGUGGUCAGGUAGAGAAUACCAAGGCGCUUGAGAGAACUCGGGUGAAGGAACUAGGCAAAAUGGUGCCGUAACUUCGGGAGAAGGCACGCUGAUAUGUAGGUGAAGUCCCUCGCGGAUGGAGCUGAAAUCAGUCGAAGAUACCAGCUGGCUGCAACUGUUUAUUAAAAACACAGCACUGUGCAAACACGAAAGUGGACGUAUACGGUGUGACGCCUGCCCGGUGCCGGAAGGUUAAUUGAUGGGGUCAGCGCAAGCGAAGCUCUUGAUCGAAGCCCCGGUAAACGGCGGCCGUAACUAUAACGGUCCUAAGGUAGCGAAAUUCCUUGUCGGGUAAGUUCCGACCUGCACGAAUGGCGUAAUGAUGGCCAGGCUGUCUCCACCCGAGACUCAGUGAAAUUGAACUCGCUGUGAAGAUGCAGUGUACCCGCGGCAAGACGGAAAGACCCCGUGAACCUUUACUAUAGCUUGACACUGAACAUUGAGCCUUGAUGUGUAGGAUAGGUGGGAGGCUUUGAAGUGUGGACGCCAGUCUGCAUGGAGCCGACCUUGAAAUACCACCCUUUAAUGUUUGAUGUUCUAACGUUGACCCGUGAUCCGGGUUGCGGACAGUGUCUGGUGGGUAGUUUGACUGGGGCGGUCUCCUCCUAAAGAGUAACGGAGGAGCACGAAGGUUGGCUAAUCCUGGUCGGACAUCAGGAGGUUAGUGCAAUGGCAUAAGCCAGCUUGACUGCGAGCGUGACGGCGCGAGCAGGUGCGAAAGCAGGUCAUAGUGAUCCGGUGGUUCUGAAUGGAAGGGCCAUCGCUCAACGGAUAAAAGGUACUCCGGGGAUAACAGGCUGAUACCGCCCAAGAGUUCAUAUCGACGGCGGUGUUUGGCACCUCGAUGUCGGCUCAUCACAUCCUGGGGCUGAAGUAGGUCCCAAGGGUAUGGCUGUUCGCCAUUUAAAGUGGUACGCGAGCUGGGUUUAGAACGUCGUGAGACAGUUCGGUCCCUAUCUGCCGUGGGCGCUGGAGAACUGAGGGGGGCUGCUCCUAGUACGAGAGGACCGGAGUGGACGCAUCACUGGUGUUCGGGUUGUCAUGCCAAUGGCACUGCCCGGUAGCUAAAUGCGGAAGAGAUAAGUGCUGAAAGCAUCUAAGCACGAAACUUGCCCCGAGAUGAGUUCUCCCUGACCCUUUAAGGGUCCUGAAGGAACGUUGAAGACGACGACGUUGAUAGGCCGGGUGUGUAAGCGCAGCGAUGCGUUGAGCUAACCGGUACUAAUGAACCGUGAGGCUUAACCUU
rnacentral:rRNA from 1 species